CCUACGGGGGGCAGCAGUGAGGAAUAUUGGUCAAUGGCCGCAGGGCUGAACCAGCCAAGUCGCGUGAGGGAUGACGGUCCUAUGGAUUGUAAACCUCUUUUGUCAGGGAGCAAAGGGCGCCACGUGUGGCGUUUUGCGAGUACCUGAAGAAAAAGCAUCGGCUAACUCCGUGCCAGCAGCCGCGGUAAUACGGAGGAUGCGAGCGUUAUCCGGAUUUAUUGGGUUUAAAGGGUGCGCAGGCGGAAUGUCAAGUCAGCGGUAAAAUUUCGGGGCUCAACCCCGUCGUGCCGUUGAAACUGGCGUUCUUGAGUGAGCGAGAAGUAUGCGGAAUGCGUGGUGUAGCGGUGAAAUGCAUAGAUAUCACGCAGAACUCCGAUUGCGAAGGCAGCAUACCGGCGCUCAACUGACGCUCAUGCACGAAAGCGUGGGUAUCGAACAG
rnacentral:rRNA from 1 species